rnacentral:rRNA from 1 species
ACGUAGGGGGCUAGCGUUAUCCGGAAUUACUGGGCGUAAAGGGUGCGUAGGCGGUCUUUCAAGUCAGAAGUGAAAGGCUACGGCUCAACCGUAGUAAGCUUUUGAAACUGUAAGACUUGAGUGCAGGAGAGGAGAGUAGAAUUCCUAGUGUAGCGGUGAAAUGCGUAGAUAUUAGGAGGAAUACCAGUUGCGAAGGCGGCUCUCUGGACUGUAACUGACGCUGAGGCACGAAAGCGUGGGGAGCAAACAG